AAAGAAGUAUAAUUCUCAAAUAUUCAAAUCCAUUUCACUAGGGGCGUACAUGGGUUGGGUAAACUCGAUAAGCCUAGCCAAACCCACAUAAACUGAUCCAAAGAAAUGAGUUGGGUCAAGUUAUUGGGUGAAUACGAUUUUUAAAAAUGAAAAACCAUUCAAAAAAAUUGGGUUUUUGGUAAACCUGAACCCAACCCACGAAUAUGACACAACAUUUAUAAUAAUAAAAAGAAAAAAAAAGGGAAAUUAGAUAACCCACUAUCCAACCCAAGUCAAC
rnacentral:lncRNA from 1 species